AGGAUGGGUGGCCCCCUGGGAAGUCCUCGUGUUGCAUCCCU
rnacentral:rRNA from 1 species